UUGGGAUUUAGCCUGGUUUGGUGGGCUCCUGGCGAAUUAUUGCGUUCAUUCGGAACUUCGGCAAGGCAGCACUGCACUAUUGGACAACGGCAAGCUCACGUCGUCUGGUGGAGCUUCCUGCGGAAACUACUGCUGCUUACUUGGUGCCACAACGCUGGAUGAAUGCACAAAAAGCCCGCGACGAGCAUUUACAAAAAAUAAAACAAACGUUAAUUUUUCCACA